AUGCCAAUAAAUGUGGAGGAGCAAAAAUUUGUAGAACUUGCCAGAGUUUUUGGGUGUCUAGUUGGAUCAAUGCUGUUCACGUAUCUUGGUCUCCCACUCGGAACAACUAAACCCACGGUUAAGAAGCUAAUGCCUUUAGUGGACAGAAUUGAGAGAAGACUAACGGGAACUGCCAUUUGGUUAUCAUAUGGAGAACAUGUGCAGCUUAUCAACUCAGCUCUCUCAUCGCUACUCUCUUUUGAGAUGUGUUUCCUCAUACUUCCACUCAUAUUGAUUGAGAUCUUUGACAGAGCUAGAAGACUUUGUUUAUGGAGAAAAGAAAUUGACAGAGAUGCUAAAACACAUUCACUUGCUGCAUGGGACCUUGUUUGCCGUCCUAAAAAGAAAGGUGGGCUUGGGGUAAUCAACCUUCAAAUUCAAAACAAUGCCCUACUGCUCGAAUACCUGCACAAGUUUAUGAAUAAGCAUGACACUCUGUGGGUGAUGAUUAUUUGGGAUGCUUACUACUCCGAUGGAGUCCCUCCUCAUGCCAAACCAAGCACUUGCUCUUUCUGGUGGCGUGAUGUGUUCUCGCUGAUUGAUGUGUACUGUGGGAUCACAACUUGUAUGCCGGCGGCGGGAGACACAGUGCUUCUGUGGAAAGAUGUGUGGCUGGAAGAACAACCUUUAAUGAACACCCAUGAACACAUGUUUUCCUUCGCUGUGAAUGAGGACAUCUCUCUGGAACAAUUCUAUAACAACAGUUCACCAGGAGAUAAUUUCAUGUUAACUUUGUCUUUGGAGGCCAGGACAGAAUUGGAGACUCUUCAGAUGACUUUGGCCGGAUUAGUACUGGAUCAGAUGACUACAGAUGAAUGGAUUCUAUGUUGGGGAGACACGAAAUACAAACCAAAAAAGUUCUAUGACUUCAUGUUCAGGAACAUGCAGACACCUCAAAUCAUAACAUCCAUAUGGAAAUCAAAAUGUAUUAUGAGGAACAAGGUUUUUGCGUGGAUAAUGCUCCUCGACAGAAUAAACACAAGGGACUUAUUGCAGAGACGACACUUCAAUAUUGGUGAUGAUCAUAACUGUCCUCUUUGUUAG
rnacentral:rRNA from 1 species